UACGUAGGGGGCUAGCGUUGUCCGGAUUUAUUGGGCGUAAAGAGCGUGUAGGCGGCCUGGUAGGUCUGCUGUGAAAACUCGAGGCUCAACCUCGAGAUGUCGGCGGAAACCAUCUGGCUAGAGUCCGGAAGAGGAGAGUGGAAUUCCUGGUGUAGCGGUGAAAUGCGUAGAGAUGUGGAGGAACACCAGUGGCGAAGGCGACUCUUUGGCCUGUAACUGACGCUGAGGCGCGAAAGCGUGGGGAGCAAACAGG
rnacentral:rRNA from 1 species